UACGAGGGGGGCAAGCGUUGUUCGGAAUCACUGGGCGUAAAGGGCGCGUAGGCGGUCUUGUAAGUCUCGUGUGAAAUCCCUCGGCUUAACUGAGGAACUGCACGGGAUACUGCAUGACUUGAGAUCGGGAGAGGGAAGCGGAAUUCCGGGUGUAGCGGUGAAAUGCGUAGAUAUCCGGAGGAACACCGGUGGCGAAGGCGGCUUCCUGGACCGACACUGACGCUGAGGCGCGAAAGCUAGGGGAGCAAACGGG
rnacentral:rRNA from 1 species